UUGAUCAAGAAGGAGAGUGUGUAGAGUAAUCGAUGUUGUAUUUGCCCAUGGAAGGCAUAUGUGGACCAAUAAGCAAGUGCAUAUGCAAGUAUGUGAGCACCCAUCCACAUUAGCACUUGUUCUUUGAUGGAGACAUUUCUGAUCCCUAGAGCUAGACUUACAGCCCAAAAUGAAAACCUCUGAAGGCACCUUCUUAGUAAGCUGUACAAAAACAAUCUUGAGUCAAAGGUAAUCAGAGGUUUCAAGGUCCCAGAGUCAUCUCUCACCCUCUUUUCUCUCCAUGCUACUCCCAGUACUUAGAAGUGAGGAACUGCUUAGAAAGAAGAUACUGAGUGUACCCUGAAAAGUGGUUAUGGAAGUGAUUCUGAUCUGA
rnacentral:scRNA from 14 species